rnacentral:rRNA from 1 species
AUUGAACGCUGGCGGAAUGCUUUACACAUGCAAGUCGAGCGGCAGCGCGGGGGCAACCCUGGCGGCGAGCGGCGAACGGGUGAGGAAUACAUCGGAACGUACCCCGGAGUGGGGGAUAACGCCGCGAAAGCGGCGCUAAUACCGCAUAUGCUCUGAGGAGGAAAGUGGGGGACCUGCAAGGGCCUCACGCUCUGGGAGCGGCCGAUGUCCGAUUAGCUAGUUGGUGGGGUAAAGGCCCACCAAGGCGACGAUCGGUAGCUGGUCUGAGAGGAUGAUCAGCCACACUGGGACUGAGACACGGCCCAGACUCCUACGGGAGGCAGCAGUGGGGAAUUUUGGACAAUGGGGGCAACCCUGAUCCAGCCAUGCCGCGUGCGGGAAGAAGGCCUU